UACGGGGGGAGCAAGCGUUGUUCGGAUUUACUGGGCGUAAAGGGCGCGUAGGCGGCCUCCGCAAGUCAGUUGUGAAAUCUCCGAGCUUAACUCGGAAAGGUCAACUGAUACUGCAGGGCUAGAGUGCAGAAGGGGCAACUGGAAUUCUCGGUGUAGCGGUGAAAUGCGUAGAUAUGUGGAGGAACACCGAUGGCGAAGGCAGCCCCCUGGGUCAAGACUGACGCUCGUGCACGAAAGCGUGGGGAGCAAACAGG
rnacentral:rRNA from 1 species